AUUUAUAUAGUAUAAAAGUAUAUAUGACUUCCAAUCAUAAGGUUUAUUAUUAUUAAUAAUAUAAAUA
rnacentral:tRNA from 1 species